rnacentral:misc_RNA from 1 species
GCAUGUUUAUGGCUUUUUUAAAAUGUUGCAUUCAAUAAGAGUUUUAAUUUUCUGUGCUAGUUACCAGAGCUAUUGUUAUUCAUGGCGUCAUUGUACUUUGUUUUUCACUUACAAUUGUCCUUCCAACUUUUGAUGUAUUAUUUAUGAAUAAACUUGUUUAUAAAGUGGCAAGCAGCAUUUGUUCUUAUGUUCUGUGGUAAUAUUUUCCUCAUCCACUUUUCAAAUUUUCUUUUCUUGAAUUGAUGUACUUGGUUUUAUUGGGCGAUAUUACUUAUGGCUUGUGAUUUGUGAAUCUACAAUAUUGAAUGGGGUUUCAAGGAAGUGGCAUAGUCUAGCAAAUUUUGCUGCUCGAUUAUGUAUUUGCUUACUGCACAAAAUCUAGAUUCUAACAUUGGUGAACGCUGUGUGCGCUUUUCUGUAAAACGCUAGAUUUGUGGCUCAAUUGUUGCUGAUGUUAAUAUCUAGUUUUCUUUUGUCCUCUUAUUUUCUGGCGAUUAAUGCUUAUGUCUUUGUUCCAUCACAGAUCAAUUCAAGGCCAUAAAUGAU